UCAGGAUGAACGCUGGCGGCGUGCUUAACACAUGCAAGUCGACGAAGCACUUCUACGAUCCCUCGGGGUGACGAGAUAGUGACUGAGUGGCGGACGGGUGAGUAACGCGUGGGUAACCUGCCUUAUACAGGGGGAUAACAGUUGGAAACGGCUGCUAAUACCGCAUAAGCGACACAGUACCGCAUGGUACAGUGUGAAAAACUCCGGUGGUAUAAGAUGGACCCGUCGUCUGAUUAGCUAGUUGGUGAGGUAACGGCCACCAAGGCGACGAUCAGUAGCCGAUCUGAGAGGAUGAACGGCCACAUUGGGACUGAGACACGGCCCAGACUCCUACGGGAGGCAGCAGUGGGGAAUAUUGCACAAUGGGCGAAAGCCUGAUGCAGCGACGCCCGCGUGAGUGAUGAAGUAUUUCGGUAUGUAAAGCUCUAUCAGCAGGGAAGAUAAUGACGGUACCUGACUAAGAAGCAACCGGCUAAAUACGUGCCAGCCGCAGC
rnacentral:rRNA from 1 species